rnacentral:rRNA from 1 species
CAGCAGCCGCGGGAAUACGUAGGGUGCGAGCGUUAAUCGGAAUUACUGGGCGUAAAGCGUGCGCAGGCGGUUCGUUAAGACAGAUGUGAAAUCCCCGGGCUUAACCUGGGAACUGCAUUUGUGACUGGCGAGCUAGAGUAUGGCAGAGGGGGGUAGAAUUCCACGUGUAGCAGUGAAAUGCGUAGAGAUGUGGAGGAAUACCGAUGGCGAAGGCAGCCCCCUGGGCCAAUACUGACGCUCAUGCACGAAAGCGUGGGGAGCAAACAGGAUUAGAUACCCCCGUAGUCCCUGUCUCUUAUAC